GGCCCCGUAGCUCAACUGAAUAGAGCAUUUGACUACGGAUCAGAAGGUUUCAGGUUUGAACCCUGACGGGGUCA
rnacentral:tRNA from 4 species